GACGAACGCUGGCGGCGUGCCUAAUACAUGCAAGUCGAACGAAGUGGCGAACGGGUGAGUAACGCGUAAUCAACCUGCCCUUCAGAGGGGGACAACAGUUGAAAACGACUGCUAAUACCGAAUACUGAAGCAGGGGAUUGCGUCUGAUUAGCUAGUUGGGGGGGUGACGGCCCACCAAGGCGAUGAUCAGUAGCCGGUCUGAGGGGAUGAACCGCCCCAGUGGGACUGAGACACGGCCCAGACCCCUACGGGAGGCAGCAGUGGGGAAUCUUCCGCAAUGGACGAAAGUCUGACGGAGGCACGCCGCGUGAGUGAUGAAGGCCUUCGGGUUGUAAAGGUCUGUUAAGCGGGACGCGGUACCGGAAGAGAAAGCCACGGCUAACUACGUGCCAGCAGCCGCGGUAAUUC
rnacentral:rRNA from 1 species